ACAACUUUAGUAGAAUUAAAUAAUAAAAUAUCAUAUUUUUUGUAUUUUACUUACAAAUACAAUUUACGACUUGUAUUUAAUUUCCCAAUCCCAAAUCACGCUGACCCUCAAACAUAAGCAACAUCCACAAGACAGCCAAUGGCUGCUCGUAAGUAUGUAAAGGCCACCUCUCACAAUAUGACUUUGAGAUCAAGAAAAUGAUGGCGAGAAAGUCCUCCAAUGAACCAUCAAGUCACCUUAGGUCGUAAUACUGAUUUGUAUACAGUGUGUUUACCUUCCCUGAAGUCAAUGUCAAUACUUCUCUUAUGUAUGAUACACACAAAAAAAUCUCAAAGACAAAAAUGAAUACAAAGGAAUAAGGUUUUGUAGUAUCAGGUUGAGUUUUGGAGUGCCACAAACCAUUGUAAUAGCAAGAUUUGUUCAUACUCCUAAAAACUAUGUUUGCACCCAUGGAAGCAGUAUCAUCCCCAGUGAGAAUGCAUGAUUUAGCAAUCAUCACCGAUUUGAAGGUUACUCUGUAUUUUUGCAUUAAAUUUCAAAUUUCCCAAAGACUGUCAAAGGUUCCAAUCCAAGUCUAUUCAAACAAAAGGAAACCAUCUUUGUAAUUAAUUGAGAACUGGAUAAAUAUUGAUUGGUAUUAUGGAAAGAAUUAACUUUCAACUCUGAUCAUGAAUUCUUUUAUUUUGCAGUGGAUGUUCUGUGGCCUCAGCCCUCUCCAAUUCCGAUCUUUCAAUAAAUAAUAGGUCACAGCAGCCAGACAAUUUGCCACAUUACUCUUUGCUGGAUCUUUACUGAUGUGACAAUUACUACCUAUAUCCUGAGAUUCUUUGGAGACUCCUCACAAGGAAUGAUGAGUGAUCAUUUUUAUCCUGUAUCUUCAUUCCCUUCCAUGGGACGAUAGGCUCCAUUCCUGAUUUAUUUCCAAAAUUUGACACAUAAUAAUUAAAGCAUUACUGCAGGUCGAAAAUCAAGGGUUUGGAUUCUGAGUCCUUGGCCUGCACUUUUGGCCAGAUAAAUUGCUCAUUCUUCUUUAUUUACUCAGCAUGAAUAUAUUCUCUCUUCUAGAUGCCAAGCAUGUAGGUUUAAAUGACCUUUCUGGUUUGAAUAUUUCAGUCCCCCCAAAAUUAUUAGUUUGAAGUCCUAACCCCCAAAGUGAUUGUAUCAGGUGGCGGACCCUUUGGGACUUUAUUAGGGUGUGGGGAUGGAGGCCUCACAAAUGGAAUUAGUACCCUUAUAGAAGAGGUCUGAGAUAAAUGCCUCCCUCUCCUGCCCUGUGAUGAAACAAUGAGAACUCUGCAGUGUGAGACCUGAAGCAGGCUCUCACCAGAACUGGACCACAUGGACACCCAGAUCUUGGAUUUCCAAACUCUAGAACUGUGAGCAGUACAUUUCUGCUCUUUACAAACUACCCAGUCUAUGCUGUUUUGUUGAAGAAGCCCAAAUAGUAAGACAUGACCUGAUCUAUUGUACCCUCGGAAUACCUCCCAGAAGUCUUUAAAAUACCUAAAGGGAGAGAUACCAUCUUACCCAACCCCGUUUCCUAGACAGCUAGUCCAGUCCCUGUCAUUUCAGGAGCUUGAUCCAUACUCAUGAUGAUAAUAAUAAUAGAAGAAAUAAUACCAACAUAGAUAGAUAUGAUGUGAGAGGACAAUAAUCUACAGAGAAUUUGUAAAUUCUUCAUGGUUCUACAAGGGAAGUGAUAAUGGAAUAUUGUGUGAGAUAUUUUUUGAAGAUCGUCUGCAGGAAUGUUUUCUUCAAGUUUGUAUUUCCAAUAUUUAGAAGAUCAGGAUGAGAAUCACAGGCUUGGACACAAAUGGAAGGCUCGCUCUCCACUUUUUCUUCAGUUAUCCUCAAGUACUUGCAAGGAGCUGCCUGAUCAUACUUUUCUCGUCUCCCUCAGGAAAUAAGGAAACAACUUGUAAUGUGUCUACACUUGUGGAUAUUUUCCUUGUAGGCUAUGCCUUUGGGCAUCAACUUGAAUGCUUCUUUCAAAUAGUCUAUGUUGCUGUGAACUCUGAGUGACAUCUGUGUCAUCUUCUCCAAGCUGAACUUGUGGAAUAAAAAUUUGAGUCUGAUUGCA